rnacentral:snoRNA from 1 species
AUUCUUCAGACUUACCCCAGGGGCUUUUUUGCCUAUAAAGUGCCCUGGUAUUGCCUGAGAACAGACAAGAAAGCACAGAUCCCUCCCCAGUGAGGCUCUGUUUUAUUUUGGGGCCUACAAGUUGAGUUAACAGU